UACGUAGGUGACAAGCGUUGUCCGGAUUUACUGGGCGUAAAGAGCGCGCAGGCGGUCGUUCAAGUCGAGUGUGAAAGCCCCCGGCUCAACUGGGGAGGGUCACUCGAUACUGAUCGACUCGAAGGCAGGAGAGGGUAGUGGAAUUCCCGGUGUAGUGGUGAAAUGCGUAGAUAUCGGGAGGAACACCAGUGGCGAAGGCGACUACCUGGCCUGUUCUUGACGCUGAGGCGCGAAAGCGUGGGGAGCAAACAGG
rnacentral:rRNA from 1 species